AUGGUAAUGUUCUUGCUGGAGACAAAGAAAUCCAAGGUUUUGGUGCAAAAAUUCAAGUGGUGGGUGCUGCCCUGUGUCACAAUCCAGGCUCUAUUUUGCACUGCAGUGAAAUCACUUUUUCUUCCUAAAUAUGGCUCUAAGAUUACCUAUCCCUUAUAAUCACCUAUGAAAAGAUUUCCUGAUGAAGAAUAGUGUAUUGAGCUUGAGCA
rnacentral:lncRNA from 1 species